rnacentral:misc_RNA from 1 species
GAAAUUGACGCCUCGGAUCAUGAAAUGUAGUCCUUUUUGCACUACGUGGCUCAAUCUCCCGCAACCAAGGAUGAACACGCAGGUCUGCUUUCGCCGAAAGCAACUGCACAAGAGCAGAAUGAGGCAGAGGAGGAGAGAGAGCGAGACAGCGUGGCUGCUGUUUCUGUCGAAUCUCUCGCGCGUAGGUUUUGAAAUUUCGCGUGAUUUCCGUUCUGC